GGCCACCCACACCCCGCCCGCCCAGCUCCCCGGGACUCACCACUGAGAGCGGGAACCACACCAGCACCAUGGCGGCAUGGUGGAGCACCAUGAGGAACUCCUUGUGCAGUACAGUCGGGGGAAAAGAAAAGACCAGAAGAUGCCCACAGACCAAAAGGCACAGAUACAGUGCCAAAAUAAGCCCAGGACAGGCAGGGACAGCCAAGCGUUAAGGGGAAAAUGCAGAGCAAAAGGAGCCAAGGACAAAGAAAGUUCCAUGUACUUGGAGAGUAAACAAAAACGAGAAAUGGAUGAAUAGAC